CAAAAAGACCGCGAAACCGUUAGGAGGGAAACGAAUGCAGCUGAAGUGGCUCCGUAUCAGGUUCAGGGGAUGUCGGGGGAUGUUCCGGGUUCGGGUAGCCGAGUGCGUCCUUGCUCGGAUAGGCCGUCGACUUCCCUGCACUCCCGUUGGGAGCCGGCCAACAGCAGUUGCUUCCGGCCCAGAAGGUCUGUCGGGAGGUGCCUCUGCACUUGUGCAGAGAACGUAUAGCCGGUGGUCCGGAGGUCCGGGAACGACUGAGGAGAGUCGUGAGUUUUCACGCGUGCAGCGCAGGCCCCUUUGGGCCGGGUCACCUCUGUCCGUUUGGGCCCCGCGGUGGGGACUGCUUGCAGUGUCUGCUGACGGUCAGUCUGCUCGGUCGGGGGAUUGGCCACGCCUUGCGCUCUGGUUGUUGGUGCUCAAAUGGCUGCAUCCGA
rnacentral:rRNA from 1 species